GAAUGCGAAGGACUAGGAAAAGGACCUUUCUUCUGAAUCAACCUCAUCUCAUCUCCCCGUGGAUUAAUGUCUCUGUUUUUUGUCUGUCUAGAGGGAAGCAGUUCUUGAACAGAAGCUUAGGGGGUGCCUAUGGGAAGGGGCAACCAGAUCUGGACGAUCAGGAGAGCUGUCCUGUUCCCUUCAGUUGCUGAACUUCACAAAUGCUAGAAAAGGCAACUUCUCUGCAAAGGAGAACUUGAAAAAGCCUCUGGAAGUCCAUCAUAGGAACUGACAUGUCAGAGAUACCUGGGUUGGGGGUCUGGAGAAGGAGGACUGAUAUGCUGUGAUGGAGAAGGCGCCACAGGGCAGGAAGGCAGGACAGCGAUGACAGAUGGUGCCCAGGGCAGGGUUAAAAGAUGCUGAUGACUGAGGAGAGCGGGAAUUUCCAUGGUGUAGUCUGGCACUGCACACUGCCUGUACCCAGCCUGCGAUAUUAAUCACUUUCACCAGCUUCAGAAAAAAUAGAUCCCUCCCCUCUAUGAUAUAAUAAUCAGAAAAUUCAACAGCCCCAAUUUAGCCAGAGCCAAAAACCUCAUUCUGGAAAUACUGCUCCAUUUUUCAAAGUCCUUACGCCUUUGAGAUCAGCUCUUGAUUUUAUUGGGAUGACUCCCCUUUCUGAAAGAACACUCCAGCACAGUCUCUGCAGCCUUUCUCCCAAACUGUAUGAAUCACUGCGGCCUCAUGGAACUGCCACAAGUCACUUGAGCAGCUAAAAAUAUCUCAAGAGGAAGCAGGACAAAAAUACACAUAUCCGCUGCUGUAACGCUGGGCUGGGAGGAUGCGCACCGAAUUAACAUCUUCCCUUUUCCGCAGUUUCAUUCCCUGCAGGUUUAUUCGUUAGUGAAAGCAGAUUCGAACAAACAUAGAGGUUUGUAGGAGACUUUUUGGAAAGUUGUUUUUUAGGGGAAGAGGGGUGGUGGAAAAAACUACUUGUGUAUUUCAAAUGUGGCCCACAGAUCUGAUUUCCAGUGUCUUCUGGCUCAGGCAUCUGUACUGUGGGGGUUUCUUCCAAAGUGAUGAGUAAAGCUUUGGAGCGUGUGUGUUUAUCUGAACUGUUCCUGCUUGGAAGAUUUCAUCCCAACAACUUUUAAGUGAGAAGCUACUGGCAACAAGGGGACAGAAGGAGCAUGCACAGCCGUGCCGCUAGCUGUUGUGUGUGAUGAGCUGCCUUGCAGAUGCUUUACCCAUUUGCUGGCGGACUCAGCCAGGUCCAGCAACAUCCAGUCUUGGAGCAAAAGCACCUUCAGAGUCCAUGGCUCUAAGCACUUGUGGUUUUUAAGAGCCAUCACACCCAGGCACAGGGGGCAUUAUCUCACUCCAGGUCCACAAACAACCUCCAGCUGAAGGCAGAUUUCUCCUCCAAUCACUUCUAUUUCACCUUAUACUUAGAAUUUACAGCACAGCGCUGGUUUCCUCUCCACUGUCUUUAAAAGGAGCCUGGAUGCAUAGCUCCGCUGGAGACAUCUGCAUCAGAGAUGUUUAUAGUCAUACUGAUGAGUCUGUCCCUGCACGUCCUCGAGGGAGUCUAUGCUGUCAAAAGACAAUAUACCAUCACUCCCAACAAUCCCACGUCAGCACUGGGAGGCUGCCAGUACAGCGUGAAAUCAAGUCCACAGAAUCCAACUGUCCUACAUACUCCGAGAAAUAUCAUCUAAGCGAUGAAAGGUCACCCAGACUCUGAAGUCUGAUGCUGUAUGUGUAAACAGGUUUAAGAAAAAAGUUUCCAGCAGAGGAUGGACAUAGAUUGUAGUUGCAGUGGCUCUAAUGCAUGACUACCUGUGCCAAAGAUAACACAUGCUCUCAGUGCUGGUUGCUGUAUAUAGAAUACAUACUUAGGCUUUAUGACAACUUGGAAGAAUGUCAUCUCCUAAAUGGAAACUAGUUACAGUGAAGUAGGUUGGCUGUUCCUCAACUUCUGAAGCAAGAGAUGCUGAAAUGAUAGGGGAAAGACACUGAGGCUGCAAAAAGUAUAUAAAAAAAAAUUGAGUUAGACUGCAAACAAACCAAAGAACAACAACAAAAAACCCCCUGGAAACAGUCAAAUAUUCUCCAUAAUGCUAUUUCCAGACACUACAUCUAUGGUCCAAAGCUGGCCUGGAUUUGUUUACGCUGGAAACAGUCAUAUCCGGGUUGAGGAUUACUACAUUCACUUCCAGAAAUAGCUGGAGAAUACAACCACCAAACAUCGCCUCCUGUACAAAGGUUAUAUCUGCUGGACCAGGCAGACCAGAGAUCCCCAGAUAGCUAAUGCCCGUGGAUUGAUGUCAUGAACAUCAGUGUUUUGCUUGACAUUGCAGGAAUAGAUCUUUGAGUACUGUAUACCUGCUGUCUACUUAACUUGCAUGAAUUUGGUCGAAAGAUUAAAAUAAAGCUUGUUUCACUGUGA